AAAACCUUUAAUUUCAUCUGUGGCUGGGCCAGGAGGAGGAAUAGUUGUGCACAUCCAACUCUGCUUUGCUGGAAAGUAAAAUCACCCUUGAGAAAGGUUAAGAAAAAAGUAGGGCGAUAAAGUACAAUGAUAAAGCCUCGAGCUAAAAGAGAAAAGAUAUUCCCACUUUAAAAUGACCAGUUUUAAGAGCAGAACUAUUACCAUACAAGAUGCUUAUCAGCGACACUGACCGAUUUCCAGCUUACUCUACCUCUGUCCCAAUUACUGCCUGUUACUGGAGCUCCAUCUCUGGAUCACUGAAAAGACCUGGAACAAAGCCAAGAACAUAAUAACCAAUCAAUAAAAUUUUGUUGCAAUGAAUUAAAAUCA
rnacentral:lncRNA from 1 species